rnacentral:lncRNA from 1 species
UCCCGCCCCGGGUCACCUUGAUCGGCCAAUUCAAAUUUCCUCCAAAUACCACGCGGGAGGCGGCAGCAACCGAAACUCUAAACUGCCUCCGGUCCCUACCAGCAGGCGGGGGUUUCUUCCCUCCUUGGCUCGGCCGAGAAACUCAUAUUUUAUUCAUGAAAAUCUGAGGCCCUGGGAGGCCUCGGCCUAAACAGGAUGUAAAUAUUUGCGGGCGGUGGGGGAGAGGUGGUUUUUGAGCUGGGGCUGUCCUAAGCAGGGGACCUCCGGACGCCGCUUACUCGGGCCCGCCCACCUCCAUCCCCUCUAUAGGGGUUCCUCCAUCCGCCUUGCUGAGACUUAGCACUGGCUUCCUGGCGCUUGCGAGGCGCGUGGCCAGCUCCCCAGCCUCACCUGCCCUUCCUGCACCUGGACACCCUUUGUCUCGGCUGCGCGGAGUUCCCGCCAUCCCCAGGCUGUACAGAAUCUUGCAGGGUAUCGAGGAUUUCCGAAGUUAUACCCUGCACCCCACAACCUCUGGCAAGAU